rnacentral:rRNA from 1 species
UACGGGGGGGGCAAGCGUUGUUCGGAAUUACUGGGCGUAAAGGGCUCGUAGGCGGCCAACUAAGUCGGACGUGAAAUCCCUCGGCUUAACCGGGGAACUGCGUCCGAUACUGGAUGGCUUGAGUUCGGGAGAGGGAUGCGGAAUUCCAGGUGUAGCGGUGAAAUGCGUAGAUAUCUGGAGGAACACCGGUGGCGAAGGCGGAUCUCUGGGCCAUUACUGACGCUGAGGAGCGAAAGCGUGGGGAGCGAACAGG